rnacentral:rRNA from 1 species
GACGAACGCUGGCGGCGUGCCUAAUACAUGCAAGUCGAACGCAUUUUCUUUCACCGUAGCUUGCUACACCGAAAGAAAAUGAGUGGCGAACGGGUGAGUAACACGUGGGUAACCUGCCCAUCAGCGGGGGAUAACAUUUGGAAACAGGUGCUAAUACCGCAUAAUUCCAUUUACCGCAUGGUAAAUGGAUGAAAGGCGCUUUUGCGUCACUGAUGGAUGGACCCGCGGUGCAUUAGCUAGUUGGUGGGGUAACGGCCUACCAAGGCUGCGAUGCAUAGCCGACCUGAGAGGGUGAUCGGCCACACUGGGUCUGAGACACGGCCCAGACUCCUACGGGAGGCAGCAGUAGGGAAUCUUCGGCAAUGGACGCAAGUCUGACCGAGCAACGCCGCGUGAGUGAAGAAGGUUUUCGGAUCGUAAAACUCUGUUGUUAGAGAAGAACAAGGAUGAGAGUGGAAAGUUCAUCCCUUGACGGUAUCUAACCAGAAAGCCACGGCUAACUACGUGCCAGCCGCCGCGGUAAUAC